GGCUAGAGUCUUGUAGAGGGGGGUAGAAUUUCAGGUGUAGCGGUGAAAUGCGUAGAGAUCUGAAGGAAUACCAGUGGCGAAGGCGGCCCCCUGGACAAAGACUGACGCUCAGAUGCGAAAGCGUGGGUAGCAAACAGGAUUAGAUACCCUGGUAGUCCACGCCGUAAACGCUGUCUACUUGGAGGUUGAGGUUUAAGACUUUGGCUUUCGGCGCUAACGCAUUAAGUAGACCGCCUGGGGAGUACGGCCGCAAGGUUAAAACUCAAAUGAAUUGACGGGGGCCCGCACAAGCGGUGGAGCAUGUGGUUUAAUUCGAUGCAACGCGAAGAACCUUACCUACUCUUGACAUCCAGCGAAUCCUUUAGAGAUAGAGGAGUGCCUUCGGGAGCGCUGAGACAGGUGCUGCAUGGCUGUCGUCAGCUCGUGUUGUGAAAUGUUGGGUUAAGUCCCGCAACGAGCGCAACCCUUAUCCUUGUUUGCCAGCACGUAAUGGUGGGAACUCCAGGGAGACUGCCGGUGAUAAACCGGAGGAAGGUGGGGACGACGUCAAGUCAUCAUGGCCCUUACGAGUAGGGCUACACACGUGCUACAAUGGCAGAUACAGAGGGCAGCGAAGCUGCGAAGUGGAGCGAAUCCCUUAAAGUCUGUCGUAGUCCGGAUUGGAGUCUGCAACUCGACUCCAUGAAGUCGGAAUCGCUAGUAAUCGUGGAUCAGAAUGCCACGGUGAAUACGUUCCCGGGCCUUGUACACACCGCCCGUCACACCAUGGGAGUGGGCUGCACCAGAAGUAGAUAGCUUAACCUUCGGGAGGGCGUUUACCACGGUGUGGUUCAUGACUGGGG
rnacentral:rRNA from 1 species